UCUUUGAUAGGUAUAUUUAUUUAGUUUAGUUACAGCUAAGUUUAAAUGGCUAGUUAAUAUGCUUUUAUAAAUUGCAAUUUUUAUUAAUUUCCAAAUAAAACAUGUGGCAUCCAAUAUCAUAAACUAAGUUUAUACUGGUGUGUUUAUAUUAUUUUAGAAUUUUUUUGUUUUAGACACAUGGCAUUUGCUAUCCCACUAAUUUGCUGCUUUAGAGGCACGGCAUUUAGUGUCACAUUGUAGGUUUAAAUUGGUUGUAGAAUUUAUAUUGUAACUUGCAUAUUUAUUUAGUUGAGUUUAAUCUAAGUUUAUAUUUGAUGUGUUUGUAUUAUUUUAGAAUUUACUGUUUUAGACACGUGGCAUGUGGUAUCCCACUGUAAGUUUGAAUUGACACUUGUAUAAGCUGUCAUACUAAUUUGAUGUUUUAGACACGUGGCUUGUGAUAUCCCACUAGUUAGCUAUUUUAAGCAUGUGACAAGUGGUAUGACACUGUAUUGAUGUAUGUGAAAUGUAUAGAGUCUUUCAGUUAUCAGAUAAUGUCAAGGAGUUGACAGCAUGGUGUCCGAUUUAAAGUGCAAACCUGUGUACGAGUAACAACAGUAUCAAAACAAUUCAAAACCAAAACAAUUCAAAACCAAAACCUAUUUAGACCAACCAAACCAAAACUAGCGACCAAAAACUAAUAUCCUGGCAUUUAUUUUAAACAUCUAUUAUAUAUAUGUGUGUGUUUUAUAUAAAUGUACUAGCUUGAGU